AUACGGAGGGUGCGAGCGUUAAUCGGAAUUACUGGGCGUAAAGCGUACGUAGGCGGUUGGUUAAGUUAGAUGUGAAAGCCCCGGGCUUAACAUGGGAACUGCAUUUAAAACUGGCGAACUAGAGUUGAGUAGAGGGGAGUGGAAUUUCAGGUGUAGCGGUGAAAUGCGUAGAGAUCUGAAGGAACACCAGUGGCGAAGGCGACUCCCUGGACUCGAACUGACGCUGAGGUACGAAAGCGUGGGUAGCAAACGGGAUUAGAAACCCGAGUAGUCC
rnacentral:rRNA from 1 species